rnacentral:rRNA from 1 species
GAUGAACGCUGGCGGCGUGCCUAAUACAUGCAAGUCGAGCGAACGGACGAGAAGCUUGCUUCUCUGGUGUUAGCGGCGGACGGGUGAGUAACACGUGGAUAACCUACCUAUAAGACUGGGAUAACUUCGGGAAACCGGAGCUAAUACCGGAUAAUAUUUUGAACCGCAUGGUUCAAAAGUGAAAGACGGUCUUGCUGUCACUUAUAGAUGGAUCCGCGCUGCAUUAGCUAGUUGGUAAGGUAACGGCUUACCAAGGCAACGAUGCAUAGCCGACCUGAGAGGGUGAUCGGCCACACUGGAACUGAGACACGGUCCAGACUCCUACGGGAGGCAGCAGUAGGGAAUCUUCCGCAAUGGGCGAAAGCCUGACGGAGCAACGCCGCGUGAGCGAUGAAGGUCUUCGGAUCGUAAAACUCUGUUAUUAGGGAAGAACAUAUGUGUAAGUAACUGUGCACAUCUUGACGGUACCUAAUCAGAAAGCCACGGCUAACUACGUG